AGGGUCCCUUGCCACACGCCCAUUCUCGGCAGGUGUGGAAGGCCCCUCGCAUGACUGGUCCUGACACUGUCGUCACGCCAGCCC
rfam:Pseudomonas syringae pv. spinaceae strain ICMP16929 PspICMP16929_Contig_713, whole genome shotgun sequence.